rnacentral:rRNA from 1 species
UACGUAGGGUGCAAGCGUUAAUCGGAAUUACUGGGCGUAAAGCGUGCGCAGGCGGUUCGCUAAGACAGAUGUGAAAUCCCCGGGCUUAACCUGGGAACUGCAUUUGUGACUGGCGGGCUAGAGUAUGGCAGAGGGGGGGUAGAAUUCCACGUGUAGCAGUGAAAUGCGUAGAGAUGUGGAGGAACACCGAUGGCGAAGGCAGCCCCCUGGGUCAAGAUUGACGCUCAUGCACGAAAGCGUGGGGAGCAAACAGG